AGAAGGGAAGUCGUGUUCGCCAUACACGACAACCUUCACAAAUUUGUUUUUCUAUUUUCUUUUCCCUAUGAAUAUUAAUUCUCAUCUCCCUUCCACUUCAAUAUUUCCCUCUACAGAAAAAACCCCACUUGCUCUAUACCCACCAUUUCCAUUUCCAUGGAAAUGGUUUCAAGCUCUGAUUUCCAUACCCUUUUCUCUCACAUUUUCCUUUGUCUUCUCUUCUUCUCUCUUCAUGUUCAACCAAAUACUUCCCCACAUAAGUGUAUGAAUCUAUUUUUCAAGCUGAUUGUGUGUUGUUCUCUGCUGCCGCCAUGGUCAUCUCGACUUUCGUUAAGAUCGGUUAAAGUUAAGAUAUGAGUUCAUCUUCAUACGUGGGGAGAAGUAUCAACUUGUUGUAUAAAGCCCAAUGUGCUACCUAUGUAUAUAUGAGGAAGAAAGGAAGAUAGGAAGAUGAUGAUUAAGAGAUGUGAAUUUCCUACGAUAUUAUCAAUUGAUGAAAGUAUAUGGAAUAUAUUAUUCAUUUAUGAUGGGACUGAGUGGGACUACCACAAAAUUUCAAAUCCUUCUUAUACAAGGUAUUUGCCAAAAUCUAUAAUUUUUUA